rnacentral:lncRNA from 1 species
GUUUUAACUUAAAGUUUCAUUAAGAACCUGGAUUUUGUACAAGGUAGAAUUCUCAGGUGCAUGUGGGAAGUGACAGAGGGUAUAAAAGCUGACUUUCAUGACCAUCUUCUCUUGCAGAAGUGUUCUUGACUGGAGGAGCUGCAGCAGGAUCCCGUGGGGAGAGGCCAGCAAGCUUCACUCCAUCACGGAGAAGGGGUCAUGGGAAGGACAAAGAAUGGGGACCUUGCUGCAGGCCAUUUCUGAGGACUAAACACCUUCAUCUAGAUGCUGGCACCGCCGUGAUCCUAAGUACCAACCUUCCCCGUGGGCUGCAGGCAGCCCCCGUGGCGCAGCAACGUCACGCUCACCGCGCUGCCGUACUUCCAUUACACGUCUGCAUCACCAGCGUUGUGCUUCCCAGCAUGCCCUAGAAUCCCUUCAAACAAGCAUUCGCUGUAGCAGAAAGUCCAAGAAAAGGCUUACUCCCUUGAGGAUCAAGAAGAAAGCAACAGUGAAGAAAGGUACAGUAGCUAUUAAUAUUAAUGCUAAAGGAAGAGGGGGGAGAGAGGACACAGGAACAGUGAAAAAAAUGACUACUUAUGGCUUUGAUGUGUUCAUUUCCACAGGACCGGUGGCAGCACGGAGAAUACGGAAAGCAGAUAAAGAGGAAAAUGAGGAGGUGGAGGUGAGCAGAAGGCAGCUCAGAAAAUUGCACAAGCUGUGGGGAAUUUUUGCAUCUAGCCACUCACACACCGCAAAGGGAGUGACUCUGCCAUCUGCAUCUCCUCUGAAAAAAAAAAAAAAAAAAAAAGAGGAAGGGAGAAGAGGGACAGAAUGGAGACAAAAAAAGAAAUCCACCUGUUGUGCCUCUUGUUUUGGCUGUGGUAGGACAGAUCCAUGCUGA